GCCUUUAGCUCGCAGAUGGCUUUUCUAGGGUUUUGUUGGGGAUGCGCUCCGUAUCCUGGGCCUCCUGCGGGCUGGCAGCGAGUUUGUUUGGUCCACUUGUGUGGCCUUAUUCCCUUGGGUCGGUCCCAACCAGGAGGGCGCACAUCGAAAGAGGGAGAGACAGGGAGGAGGCUGCGGCCUCCGCAGCCGUUCCCCGACCUCUUGCCCGGUCGCCGCAGGCGCCCCGCCCAGCCCCCGCAGCCGGAUGUUGUGAUUUCUCUCCACCCACUCGGCCUAGUCUUCCCUUGGCCUCUGCUGCCUUAUAAGGCAGCGCUACCACCCCUAGACGUUGGGAUGAGUUCACACCCGUUAUACAGGUGGGGAGAUGAGGCGCCGGACGUCAAGUGGCUGACUCCAGCCCGAAGACUACGGAGAAAACAAGGCUGAAAUCUUACAACUAAUCAACACCUUGUAGCUUAACACCCCACUUCCUCCACCCCCCACUUCACGCAGCAGGAAACGGGCUUGCCCAAAUUCCGCGAGUAAGGCAGAGCCGGAUCCAUCUAGGCUUCUCUAGUCCCUCUUCAUUCAUUCAUCCGAAAACACUUACUGAGCAACACCUCUGUGCCAGGCACCAAGCCAGGUGCUGGAGAAUACAGUGAUGGCAGCAAGAUAGCCAGGCUCCCUGCUUACUUGCUAGAAGUGGAGGGAGCUAGUGAGGGCCGGGUGAGAUAGAGGUAAUCAUUCUGUAAAUAACAAAUAGAUAGUUUCAGAGAGUGACAACUGCUCUUGGGACGUUAAGACAAGAUAGAGUGUGUGACACUCUCAGUGUGUGACAUUGGAGCGGAUCCAGUAGAAGCAACAGCAAACGCAGAGGCUCUAAGCCAGACUAAGUGGUGUUUCAGGGAAUAGGAGAAGGCGUCUGCAGCUUCUGGGCCCAGUGGUCUGAGAUGAGACAGAAGGAGCAAAGGCACUAGCUAGGUCAUGGAAGACCGUGAACACAUCCAGGAGGUUGCAAUGUUUUUGGCACUCCUGCAAUGGAACCUUGCCACCCCCACAGCAAGAGAUAGAGUUUAAUUUCCCUCCCCUUGAAUUUGGUCUGACCUUAAUGACUCCUCUUGUCGUCGGUAGAAUAUGGUGGAAAUGAUGCAGAGUGAAGUCUAAGGCCAGGUCAGAAAAGGCCAUAUGGCCUGGCUCUCAUAAAAUGCUGGCUUUCCAGAACUGUCCUCUUGGGCUGUUUCCUCAGAAUCAGCUGCUGCUGUAAGAAGCCCUAGCCAAAUGGAGAGGCCACACGUGUGUGCUCUGCUAUGGUUGACAAUCCCAGCUGAGCCCAGGAUGCUGGGAUGAUCCAGUCGUCCCACCCCAAGCACCAGACAUUCCAGGCACAGUGUCUCAUGCCUCUAAUCCCAGCACUUUGGAAGGCAGGAGGAGGAUCAUUUGAAGGCAGGAAGAGGAUUACUCCUGAAACAGGAAGAGGAUCACUUGAACCCAGGAGUUCAAGACCAGACAGGGGAGCAAAGUGAGACUCCAUUUUUCCAAAAAAAAAAAAAAAAAAAAAUGCUCAGCGUG